GUUGAUCGAAGAAGAGAAGGAGAACACGGAGCAGCGGGCCGAGGAGACUGAGAGCAGGGAGGGCAGGGGGAGCUUAGGCAGCCUCUGUCGUUUUAAAUCAGUGAGCUCCCUCAACCUGCUUCCCACCUCCUCGCAUGCUGGCUCCUGCCCACCCCUGCCCAAGCCCAGAACGAGGCGGCACAGCCCGGCACAGGAGGGAGACCAGCUGGGCAUCAUGACUCUGGGUGAUACAAGAUCAUCUCUUAGUGAAGACCAGGGGGUGCUUUACGGAAACCACUGUGAGCGAAUGACACUCGAACUGCGUCUGCCAGCUAUACGGGAAGAGGUAGGAGAUGACAAGACCACCAUCAAAUGUGAAACCUCGACCCCCGCCUUACCGCUGUCCCUUCGGCUGGGCCGCCUGCACACGGGGGCGCUGCACACAGCCACCCAUGAGGACCUCAGGGACGCCCACAACUCGACAGGCUCUCAGGACAGCCCCGGGAACAACCCCAGCAGCGGCACCAGCAGGCAGGACUCGCUGCACAAAGCCCCAAAGAAAAAGGGCAUCAAUUAAGUCCUCCAUCAGCCUCUUGUUUCGCAAGAAGGAAAAGGGCCGGCCUGAAGACCCCAACAAGGAGGCAUUAGGACCAGUGACAUGUGUUUGGAAACUGCCUAAGUGCUCAUCAGUGAGGGGUGAAGUACAAUCUGUGGACACCCCACAAGGAACAGCCCGCCCUCCUUCCUGCCACCUCCCCAUCCAGGAGCUCAUCUGCCCAUGCCCCUACCCCACCCCACAGCCAUGCAGGUCCUCCUGAGGUCCCCUCAUCACACAGGGUUAUCAUUAGGCCCUCAUCUCGCUUGGCUUCAUCUCCUUGAAGACAGGGUAUGUUCCUGCCUCUUCAGCCACAAAUUUGUUGAGUCUUGUUUGUGCUGGGUGUGGGAUUUACGGGGGUAAGUAAAGCAGAUGUGAUCUGGAGCACAGUUAAGUGACAAGAGAGAAAAAGGAGCAGGUUAUUAAAUGUGAUCCCUGUUAUUAAUAUAUACAAUGCUGCGAUGGAUGGUGCAUUGAUUAUAUACAAGAUGCUGUGUGUGCCCCUUCCCAAGCAGGUGUUGCCCCUCAAA
rnacentral:lncRNA from 1 species